UACACACCGCCCGUCGCUACUACCGAUUGAAUGGCUCAGUGAGGCGUCCGGACUGGCCCAGAGAGGCGGGCAACUGCCACUCAGGGCCGGAAAGCUCUCCAAACUCGGUCAUUUAGAGGAAGUAAAAGUCGUAACAAGGUCUCCGUUGGUGAACCAGCGGAGGGAUCAUUACCGAGUUUACAACUCCCAAACCCCAUGUGAACAUACCUGUUUCGUUCCCUCGGCGGUGUCCGGCAACGGCCCGCCAGAGGACCCAACAAACUCUUUUGAAUUUUUCAGUAUCUUCUGAGUGAAAAAAAACAAUAAAUCAAAACUUUCAACAACGGAUCUCUUGGUUCUGGCAUCGAUGAAGAACGCAGCGAAAUGCGAUAAGUAAUGUGAAUUGCAGAAUUCAGUGAAUCAUCGAAUCUUUGAACGCACAUUGCGCCCGCCAGUAUUCUGGCGGGCAUGCCUGUUCGAGCGUCAUUUCAACCCUCAAGCACCUUCGGGAGCUUGGUGUUGGGGAUCGGCAGGGCGUCCUCCGGGUCGCGCCGUCCCCCAAAUCUAGUGGCGGUCUCGCUGUAGCUUCCUCUGCGUAGUAAUACACCUCGCUCUGGAGUCUCGGUGCGGCCACGCCGUUAAACCCCCAACUUUUUUCUGGUUGACCUCGAAUCAGGUAGGACUACCCGCUGAACUUA
rnacentral:rRNA from 1 species